CCGGUGCUAUAGACGGCGGUGUUUCCUUUUGGGUUGUCUCGAUGCCAUGGUCCUCACUGGUCACUGCAGAGUACUGGCAUGAGCGGCGGACUACACAACCCUUCCAGCGAUGGCAACGGGCGAACCGGCGGGAGACACAACAACAACCAGCAAACCAGGACAACGGGAGGGGCGGUUAGAGAGAGAGACGGCAUGGUGGUGACCUGCAAGCAUAUGAUUCCUUGUUAGUAAAUAUCAUAUGGCAUUAUGAGAAAAAAAUGAAGAAUCAAAUAAGGACCAAAUCUGACCUUUUCAAAGUUAUGUGGAUUAAAAUGUAGGACGGCCCACACA
rnacentral:lncRNA from 1 species